rnacentral:rRNA from 1 species
GAUGAACGCUAGCUACAGGCUUAACACAUGCAAGUCGAGGGACCGGCGCACGGGUGAGUAACGCGUAUCCAACCUGCCCAUAAGUAGGGUAUAACCCGCAGAAAUGCGGACUACUCCCCUAUGCUUAUGGAUGGGGAGGCGUUCGAUUAGGUUGUUGGUAAGGUAACGGCCCACCAAGGCUUCGAUCGGGAGGGGUUCUGAGAGGAAGGCCCCCCACAUAGGAACUGAGACACGGUCGUAACUCCUACGGGAGGCAGCAGUGAGGAAUAUUGGUGAAUGGGCGAGAGCCUGAACCAGCCAAGUAGCGUGCAGGAAGGCGGCGUAUGGGUUGUAAACUGCUUUUAUGCGGGGAUAGGUACCGCAUGAAUAAGGACCGGCUAAUUCCGUGCCAGCAGCCGCGGUAAUUC